GAAAGCUGAUGAGCACGCCGCGUGAGUGAAGAGGGUUUUCGGAUCGUAGAACUCUGUUGUUAGAGAAGAACAAGGACGUUAGUAGCUGAACGUCCCCUGCCGGUCUCCUGCCUCCCAGCCACGGCUAACUACGUGCCAGCAGCCGCGGUAAUA
rnacentral:rRNA from 1 species